UACGUAGGGUGCAAGCGUUAAUCGGAAUUACUGGGCGUAAAGCGUGCGCAGGCGGUUUUGUAAGUCUGUCGUGAAAUCCCCGGGCUCAACCUGGGAAUUACGAUGGAGACUGCAAGGCUAGAAUCUGGCAGAGGGGGGUAGAAUUCCACGUGUAGCAGUGAAAUGCGUAGAGAUGUGGAGGAACACCGAUGGCGAAGGCAGCCCCCUGGGUCAAGAUUGACGCUCAUGCACGAAAGCGUGGGGAGCAAACAGG
rnacentral:rRNA from 1 species